GUCAGGAGUUAGCCUUGGCUGAGGCUGUGCAACUGCGGUCUAGAUUUCACAAUGUCUCAAAAACUGGCUUCAGGAUCCUUUCUGAAUUUAAGGCUGACAAGAGGCAGAGUAAAACAACCUUUGCCAAGGACCUGGUGUGAAAUGCAUCACAGAAAAAGGAGGUGAGCUUCAAGCAAAAUGGCCCAAGUCAAAAUGCAGAAAAUAUAUGUGCACAAACAGACAGGGAACCUACAGGAAAGGACAAAAUAGUGCAGGCUAAAAUUGGAAACACAUGAUGGUCUGAAGCUGAAUCUGAAGAGCUGAUUAUUGACUUCAGAAAGGGCAAAGAAAGAGAAUAUAGAAUAGCCCACAUCAGGGAUUUGGCAGCAGAGAGUCAGCAGCUUUAAGUUCUUGGGUAGCUCAAUGUAUGGAAUUACCAGUCCUAGUUCCUGCACAUCAAUGCAAUCACAAAUGAGGCACGCCAAUCCCUUUACUUUCUUAGAAAGUUAUGGAGGUUCAGCUUGUCACUGAACAUGAACAAAUAUAUGCAGGUUACAGUUGAAAAUAACUUGACAACUACUUCCCUUUAACUAUUUGGAUCUUGACCUCCAAUCAGAACGCUAAUAAGAAUCAAACUUUAAUUUGGUUCUUAAACUCAGCAUAACUUUAAUCGCUGCAGUUUAGCAACACUAUGACCACUUCAAUUACUUUGCACUAAAAUGGACUUCCACAGGGACACAAGGGAUUCUGCAGCUGCUGGAAAUAUUGAGCAACAUGCACAAAAUGCUGGAGGAACUCAGCAGGUCUGGCAGCAUCUGUGGAAGGAAAUGAUCAGUCAGCUUUUUGGGCUGAAACACUUCAUCAGAACUCCUGUAUCCAGAAUCUGG